AGAUUCUGGACAUGACAUAUAACUUGACUGAAAUGUUGGCUACACAUUUGGGUCAUGAUCCCAGAACUCAUAAAGAAAAUUAAAGGUUGACCCCCUCCACAAGAGAAUUAUCCCUGACUUGAUCCUGAAGAAGAAAUUCUGAGGGAUGCAACAGCUAAUGCUCUUCCCAUGGAAUUGAGUGGCUCCACCCCCAUGAAACAAAGUGGCUCUGCUCCAAAUGAUCAAAGUAGCUCCGCCUGUGGUAA